rnacentral:rRNA from 1 species
UGACCGCUGGCGGCGUGCCUACUACAUGCACGUCGAGCGACCAGAUAAGGAGCUUGCUCCUUUGACGUUAGCGGCGGACGGGUGAGUAACACGUGGAUAACCUACCUAUAAGACUGGGAUAACUUCGGGAAACCGGAGCUAAUACCGGAUAACAUAUUGAACCGCAUGGUUCAAUAGUGAAAGGCGGCUUUGCUGUCACUUAUAGAUGGAUCCGCGCCGUAUUAGCUAGUUGGUAAGGUAACGGCUUACCAAGGCAACGAUACGUAGCCGACCUGAGAGGGUGAUCGGCCACACUGGAACUGAGACACGGUCCAGACUCCUACGGGAGGCAGCAGUAGGGAAUCUUCCGCAAUGGGCGAAAGCCUGACGGAGCAACGCCGCGUGAGUGAUGAAGGUCUUCGGAUCGUAAAACUCUGUUAUCAGGGAAGAACAAAUGUGUAAGUAACUGUGCACAUCUUGACGGUACCUGAUCAGAAAGCCACGGCUAACUACGUG